GACCUCGUAGCUCAUUUGGCGAGAGCCUGGACGGUACUUCAGCCUGCCCCUUACUGACGUGGGUUCGAAUCUCACUGAGGCCA
rnacentral:tRNA from 1 species